rnacentral:rRNA from 1 species
CCGUUCAGGGGUAAACCUAAGAAACCCAAAAGAUCGAACGGNGAGAUUCAUCGUCAGCGGCGCUGGCUUCGCGUCGGUCGGCGAUGCCCCGCGGAGUCCUCGCGGCUCGCGCGCGGGCACGCUACCGUGCGCUGAUGUCCGGCGCUCGUCGUCGUGCACUUCUCCCCAAGUAGAACGUCGCGACCCGCUGGGUGUCGGUCUACGGCCCGGGUGCGGUGUCUGUCGCGUCGCCGGUAAAACGGCACGCGACAAACCCCCGGUCGCCCGGCCGGCUGCUCGGCGGUACGCGCAAGGUAUCAGGCCGCACUUUACGGUGCGUCGAGACCGUCGCAAGCGCGCGCCACGGUACUCGGAGGUUACGGACUUUGCGCCGUCCCCGGUCCUGGCCCGCUGUUGGUUACAGUACGGUACACCUUCGACAGGCCUGCAAACGUCUCCCGCGGCAUUUGUCGCGGGAGACCGAUACCGGUCGGCGACGCUACUGC